AGCAUCAGCGCCGAGACGCUAUUGGCGUUCGCAGGGAGAGAAACAUCGAAGAGCGGGCGCACCUGCUGCCUUUUACCGCACCGGACUUGUCAGUAGUAUAAAGAUGGUAACUCCUCCAGGAGCAUCCAGGACAUGCGACUCAAUUGGGUAGAAAACUAUUGCAUUGCUACAUGGCUCUUGGGAGCCUCCUGCCCGUGGAACACUCAUCUGCCUUUCCCUUUCACAAGGCAUCAACACAAGAAACUGUUUUGUACAGCAAAAGCCAGUGACCAGCAGUGGCUCAAGGCAGAACAAAAGGAAAUGGAAAAUCAAGCAACCCAAACAAGAGAGGGGAAGCUCUCACCAAGUACUGAUUCCACCUUGCAGACAGGCAGAUCCUGUGCUUGGAGAGGGCACAGCGAAGUCAAACGUCUUUAAUGAUACCCCUCCCUCAGAUCCAGCUUGAGUGAACACCAAGAAUCACUGUCACAGUGCAACUGCACUGAUGAAGAAUACAUCACACCCAAAAGGUGAAACUGGUUUACCAAGUAGCCUUCAUCAGCUUGAGGACAACUUUUGUGGUUACCUGCAGUCAAAAAACCCUUACAUAUGCCCUUCUGUUGCAAAGAAGUUCCCUGAAAAGUUUCUUAGUGCACAGUAACCUUAUGUUGCUGCCAAUAGUUUAACCUGGGUGUUUUGCAAAUGAGCUUACCAACGACCAAGGUAGCUCAAGUGAGAAGCCUUAGUUGGUACUCAGCAAAACUGCCUGUUUGUCUUGCCCACAGGAGUAUAAGCAGCCUUAAAGUACAGGCAGUGACAGUACAGCCCCUUAAAGACUCCUUCAUUUCAGGGAGACAAGAGUCAGAGGCUUUUAGCAUUACAGGUAACUCGUUUGCUUAUAAUCAGGUAUUUUAAGUUAACCAAGGAAUUUCAAAGAGCCACAUCUCUAGCUACACUAGGCAGAGUAUGCUGUAUACGUGAAGACUACUACUUGUUUGCAGAGCUAAGAACAUUGCAAAAAGGCACACUGCACCAUCAGCUAGAGCUGCCAUGGAGACCGC